rnacentral:tmRNA from 1 species
GGGGGCGACCUGGCUUCGACGGGGAUUGCAAAACCUGAGGUGCAUGUCGAGGAGGAUAUCCUCGUUAAUAAAAUCCAAAAUAUAUAGUUGCAAACGACGACAACUACGCAUUAGCUGCUUAAUAACCAGUUCUAAUGCCCUCCGACCCGAAUUUGCUUAUGGGCUUGGUCAUCGGGGGUAAUCUUACAUAAGAUCGCAGUGAGGUAUGUUUAGGGCCGAUCUGUUAAAACCUAACUAAGCUCGCUUGUUAAAAUCCCGCCCAUAGGAGUUUAACCGGUUAAACUAAAAUAUGGUUCUAAGCAUGUAGAGCCGAUGGCAGAGGGUUCGCGGACGGGGGUUCGAUUCCCCCCGCCUCCACCA